rnacentral:rRNA from 1 species
AGAGUUUGAUCCUGGCUCAGAUUGAACGCUGGCGGCAUGCCUAACACAUGCAAGUCGAACGCCUGUACCAAUACAGGAGUGCUGCGCGGGUGAAUAGCGCGUGGGAACCUGCCCUGGAGUGGACCAUCCCCGACAGAAAUUUCAGCUAAUACCGCCUACGUCCUGAAGCACAUACAUUUAUCGCUCUAAGAGGGGCCCGCUUCGGAUUACCUACGUGGUGACGUAACGAUCUACCAUUACAACGAUCCGUAGGUGGUGUGAUACGAUGAUCACCCUCGAUGGGAGUGAUACACGGACCAUACUCCUACCUGAGGCUGAAACGCGGAAUAUAGUACUAUGGGAGAAAGCCUGAUCCAAUGUUGCCGCGUGAGUGAUGAAGGCCUUAAGGUUGGAAAGCUCUUUCGGCAAGGACUAUGAUGACGGUACCCGUUUAAUAAGGCCCGGCUAACUACCUGCCAACAGCCGCGGGAAUACGAAGGGCCUGAGCGUUGUUCGCAAUUACUGUUCGUGCCAGGCGCGCAGGGGGCUCUGAGAGUCAGAUGUGAAAUCCCCGGGCUUGACCUGAGAACUGCAUUUGAUACUCUGGUAGCUUGAGUACGUGAAAGGAUAGUGGAAUUCCCAGUGUGGAGGAUGAAAUUCUGUAGAUAUUGGGAAGAACACCAGGUGGGGAAGGCUGCUAUCUGUACCGUAAAUGUGCGCUGAGGAUGCGGAAAGCAUGGUGGAGGGAACAGGAUUACAUACUCGUGACUAGCUCUGCACCGGUGAAGCGACUGAUGACGCGUAGGACGAUUCGGAGACAGGCGUAUAUACAUUCUCUCGGGUGUGUUCAG